UACGGAGGGUCCAAGCGUUAUCCGGAUUUAUUGGGUUUAAAGGGUACGUAGGCGGAAAAUUAAGUCAGUAGUGAAAGCCCAUCGCUCAACGAUGGAACUGCUAUUGAUACUGGUUUUCUUGAAUAUACUUGAAGUGGGCGGAAUACGACAUGUAGCGGUGAAAUGCAUAGAGAUGUCGUAGAACACCGAUUGCGAAGGCAGCUCACUAAGGUAUUAUUGACGCUAAUGUACGAAAGCGUGGGGAGCGAAC
rnacentral:rRNA from 1 species